UGAUGUAUGUGUGAUGUGGGUGUGUGUUGUGUGUGUGACGUGUGCGUGAUUUUAGUGAUGUAUUUGUGUGUGUAUGUGUGCGUGUGUGUGAUGUGUGUGAUGUGUAUGUAUGUGUGUGUGUGGGUGAUAUGUGUGUGUAUGUUUGUGUGUGAUGUCUGUGUGAUGUGUGUGUAAUUUCUGUGUGUGUGUGUGUGUGAUGUGUGUGUGAUGUGUCUGUGUGUGUGUGUGUGAUGUGUGUGUGAUGUGUGUGUGAUGUGUGUGAUGUGUGUUUGUGUGUGUGUAUGAUGUAUGUGAUGUGUGUGCGUGUUUAUUGUGUGUGUGUGUGAGUGUGAGUGUCUGUGUGAUGUAUGUGUGAUGUAUGUGUGACGUUUGUGUGAUGUGUAUGUGUCUGUGUGUGUGAUGUGUGUGUGUGUGU
rnacentral:lncRNA from 1 species